rnacentral:rRNA from 1 species
AGUACCGAAACUGUGGAUGUGUUUUAAAGAGCACGUGGUAGGAGAGCGUUCUAAGAGCGGAGAAGUUGAAUCGAGAGGAUCAAUGGAGCGCUUAGAAGUGAGAAUGCCGGUAUGAGUAGCGAAAGAUAGGUGAGAAUCCUAUCCGCCGAAAGACUAAGGUUUCCUGGGGCAGGCUCGUCCGCCCAGGGUAAGUCGGGACCUAAGGCAAGGCCGAGAGGCGUAGUCGAUGGAUAACAGGUAGAGAUUCCUGUACUGUGUCAAAUCGUUAAGAGCGAAGGAGGGACGCAGGAGGUGAAGCACGCAUCGCGAUGGAACGAUGUUCAAGCAACAAGUGCGGUUAAGAGUCAAAUGCUUCUAACCAGCAACACGAGUUGUGAAGAGGAGUGAAUUAAAAGUAGCGAAGGUGUGGUAAUCACACUGCCAAGAAAAGCUUCUAGCCAGAGAUGACAUACCCGUACCGCAAACCGACACAGGUAGUCGAGUGGAGAACACUAAGGUGAGCGAGAGAACUCUCGUUAAGGAACUCGGCAAAAUGACCCCGUAACUUCGGAAGAAGGGGUGCUAGCCAAGAGAUUGGUUAGCCGCAGUGAAUAGGCCCAAACAACUGUUUAUCAAAAACACAGGUCUCUGCAAAAUCGUAAGAUGACGUAUAGAGGCUGACACCUGCCCGGUGCUGGAAGGUUAAGAGGAGAGCUUAGCGUAAGCGAAGGUUUGAAUUGAAGCCCCAGUAAACGGCGGCCGUAACUAUAACGGUCCUAAGGUAGCGAAAUUCCUUGUCGGGUAAGUUCCGACCUGCACGAAAGGUGUAAUGAUUUGGGCACUGUCUCAACGAGAGACUCGGUGAAAUUAUAAUACCCGUGAAGAUGCGGGUUACCCGCGACAGGACGGAAAGACCCCAUGGAGCUUCACUGUAGCUUGAUAUUGAGUAUCUUUUAAACAUGUACAGGAUAGGUAGGAGCCAGAGAAGAUAGGACGCUAGUCUUAUUGGAGGCAAUGUUGGGAUACUACCCUUGUUUGAAGGAUGCUCUAACCUCGACCUGUAAGCCAGGCCAGGGACAGUGUCAGGUGGGCAGUUUGACUGGGGCGGUCGCCUCCUAAAGUGUAACGGAGGCGCUCAAAGGUUCCCUCAGAAUGGUUGGAAAUCAUUCGCAGAGUGUAAAG